rnacentral:lncRNA from 1 species
ACAAAGUGCCCAUAGGUCACUUGCACACGAACUCUCUGGUGUUCUAAGCAAGAUCUCUGAGCUUAUCCAAGACCACUUGAAAGCAGAAUCCCUCUACUAGACUGUUAGAGCCCGUCUACUAAGCAUGCUUCUUAUUUAUGCCAGGGUAGGAAAAUUAUAGAUCUAGAUCCAAUAAUUUGCCUAAUAUAAUUUAGUAUAGCAAAACUCUAUGGUUCAAAGUAAGAGUGGAUGUCUCUAGCAGAGGUUGACUUUCCUCUUUCUUUCCCCCAGAAAACCAUUUACUCAUUCAUAGACCUAUUCAACAUUUAGUGACUCCCGACUAUGUGUUUAUACUCAAAAAUACAAAAGGAAUUACAUACAUGGGGUUUUGUCUCUAUUACAAAUAACUUCUAGUUGGAUGAAUAGACCAUACCUGUGGAUGAAUAACCAAGCAUGGAGAGAGAGUGCUAUAAACAUUACAGACAGAAUGGCAUAGUCUCAUCACUGAAGAUACAGGGCACUUUUGAUGUCACUAAAAAAGAAAAAGAAAGAAGAAUUUGGGGUGGAAUCAAAGAGAAAAGACUAAUGAUGCAUCUGCAGCAAUAAGCACCAACAAAAUAUUACAGAUCUUAGAUCAUAGCUUGAUAUUUGCAAUUGAAGUAAUUGACAUUGAAACCAUUAUAAUAAGGAAUAUUAUUGUUUGGAUGGCACUUUAGAACCCACAUUUGCUAUGUCAAAUGUAAGUUGUAGGCAAGUAAGAAUAAGACAAAAAGCUGGCAAGAGACCGGGGAGAUGGUCAGAGGGUAGGGUAUUUGACAUGCAAGCAGGAGAAUCUGAGAUGAGACCCACAGACAGGCUCACAAUUCCAGGGCCAGGAAUACAGACAAAAGCAGGUUAUCAAAGAGCUUGAUGACCAGCCAACCUCACAGAAUCUGUGAGCUCUGGGGUCAAUGAGAGACCCUGUCUCAGAAAAUAAGGCAGAGCCCGAUUGAGGAAGACACCGAGUGCCAAGGUCUGGUCUUCAUAUGCAUGCACAUGCAGACAUCCAUGUAUACAUGUCAUAUGCAUAGACAAACAUAUGCAUUAAAUAAACAAGU